rnacentral:rRNA from 1 species
GACGAACGCUGGCGGCGUGCUUAACACAUGCAAGUCGAACGAAGUGGCGAACGGGUGAGUAACGAGUAAUCAACCUGCCCUUCAGAGGGGGACAACAGUUGGAAACGACUGCUAAUACAGCAUACUGAAGGAGGGGAGUGCGUCUGCUUAGCUAGUUGGAGGGGUAACGGCCCACCAAGGCGAUGAUCAGUGGCCGGUCUGAGAGGAUGAACGGCGAAAUUGGGACUGAGACACGGCCCCGACUCCUACGGGAGGCAGCAGUGGGGAAUCUUCCGCAAUGGACGAAAGUCUGACGGAGCAACGCCGCGUGAGUGAUUACGGCCUUCGGGUUGUAAAGCUCUGUUAAUCGGGACGCGGUACCGGAAUAGAAAGCCACGGCUAACUACGUGCCAGCAGCCGCGGUAAUAC